rnacentral:rRNA from 1 species
AGAGUUUGAUCCUGGCUCAGGACGAACGCUGGCGGCGCGCCUAAUGCAUGCAAGUCGAACGAGCGGACCCCUUCGGGGGCGAGCUAGUGGCAGACGGCUGAGUAACGCGUAAGCAACCUACCCACUGGCGGGGGACAACCCGGAGAAAUCCGAGCUAAUACCGCAUGUGGUUGCCUGCCGAUAGCGGGUAACGAAAGGCUUCGGCCACCAGUGGAUGGGCUUGCGUCCCAUCAGGUAGUUGGUGAGGUAACGGCCCACCAAGCCAUCGACGGGUAGCCGGUGUGAGAGCACGACCGGCCAGAGGGGGACUGAGACACGGCCCCCACUCCUACGGGAGGCAGCAGCAGGGAAUCUUGCGCAAUGGGCGAAAGCCUGACGCAGCGACGCCGCGUGAGGGAAGAAGGCCUGCGGGUCGUAAACCUCUUUUCUCGGGGAAGAUAGUGACGGUACCCGAGGAAUAAGCCUCGGCUAACUACGUGCCAGCAGCCGCGGUAAUACGUAGGAGGCUAGCGUUGUCCGGAUUCAUUGGGCGUAAAGGGGAGCGCAGGUGGCCGAGUUAGUCCGUGGUGCAAUCUCCAGGCUCAACUUGGGAGAGGUCUACGGAUACUGCUCGGCUUGAGGACGGGUAGAGGAGCACGGAAUUCCUGGGGGUAGUGG